CCUACGGGGGGCAGCAGUGAGGAAUAUUGGUCAAUGGCCGGAAGGCUGAACCAGCCAUGCCGCGUGAAGGUCAGUGCCCUAUGGGCGUUAAACUUCUUUUGUGCGGGAGCAAUAAUGGUCACGUGUGGCCAGACGAGAGUACCGUACGAAUAAGCAUCGGCUAACUCCGUGCCAGCAGCCGCGGUAAUACGGGGGAUGCAAGCGUUAUCCGGAUUUAUUGGGUUUAAAGGGUGCGUAGGCUGUGAGGUAAGUCAGCGGUGAAAUGCCCCCGCUUGACGGGGUGAAGUGCCAUUGAUACUGGCUUGCUUGAAUGUGGAUGCCGUGGGAGGAAUGUGUGGUGUAGCGGUGAAAUGCAUAGAUAUCACACAGAACACCGAUUGCGAAGGCAGCUCACGAAUCCGCGAUUGACGCUGAUGCACGAAAGCGUGGGUAUCAAACAGGAUUAGAUACCCGGGUAGUC
rnacentral:rRNA from 1 species